GAUGAAGAACGUAGCGAAAUGCGAUAAGUAAUGUGAAUUGCAGAAUUCAGUGAAUCAUCGAAUCUUUGAACGCACAUUGCGCCCGCCAGUAUUCUGGCGGGCAUGCCUGUCUGAGCGUCAUUUCAACCCUCAUGCCCCUAGGGCGUGGUGUUGGGGAUCGGCCAAAGCCCGCGAGGGACGGCCGGCCCCUAAAUCUAGUGGCGGACCCGUCGUGGCCUCCUCUGCGAAGUAGUGAUAUUCCGCAUCGGAGAGCGACGAGCCCCUGCCGUUAAACCCCCAACUUUCCAAGGUUGACCUCAGAUCAGGUAGGAAUACCCGCUGAACUUAAGCAUAUCAAUAAGAGGAGGA
rnacentral:misc_RNA from 1 species